GCAGACCAACUUAACCUUCCAUCUCAACUCAUAAAUCAUAAUAAAUAUACACUCACUUCCUUUCUUAGUGAUGAUAAUUCAAAAAUAUGCCUUUCUCCUAUUGUCACCAUUCUCAAAAUUUAAUGUGUCCUGCCCACUUCCUAUUCUUUGCAGGGCCGUUGGUAUAUUUAAUUAAAUGCUUUGCCACAAAAUUUAAGACUCUGCAUUUCUCUGUCUCUCCCUCUUCCUAUUAAAUUUUAAGAAUCUCAUUUUACACCACAUAGUCACUCCUUCACCACUCUUGUUAUGCUUUUCUUGGUUCUUAUUCUAUGUACUAUGUUUUUUAUGGUGAUGGAUUAAUUGAAGUUGAGUUACUUAUAUUAUACAAACCGCAUUGGUAAGCUAUUCUUGUUAAAUACUAUUAUAGACUCACAUUGAUUAAUAACAAAUGAUUUUUUUUAUUGUUAUCUUCUUCAUAAAGUGGAGGAACAUGAAGGUUUAUAUUUACAGUUGAGGUUGGGAACUUGAUAUGAGAUAUUGGUGCGGUUCAAUCAGAAGACAAUGCUUUUGUAAUCUAAAAAAGCUUUGUGUUAUUUGAUUGAGCCGUGCCAAUAUCACGUGUUGAUUGAUAUAAGGAAAGACAAACACAAUUUCUUUCUCCUCUAGCGAAAUUCGCAACAAAGAUUUGAUCUUCAUCCAGCAAAGAGUGAUGAUCAAUUUCUUCUAUAGGUGUGGGAUCACACAACUAAUGAAUUGGUAUGGUAGGUAGGAAAUUUGUUGUACCAUCUUUUUAUUAUUUAUGAAGAUGGUAGGGAACUUAAUUCAUUAAGGUGGAUCAAGAGGCCCAUAUAUAUAAGUCUUUCUUUUAUGCCACUUUGCUUGUAUUUAAAGGUUCUUAGUUGAAAAUGUCCCAUCUUUUUUUCUUGCUUUUAUGUUUAAUUAAAGCACUUUCCAGACAAAUAUAUAUGCAUUAAUUUUGGAAAUAUUUCCUAUUAGAAAAUGAAUUCACCGAAUUUUUAAAUCAUAACUCAACUGAUAAUUAUAAAAAAACUGAAAUUGUUAUUUUAAAUAUAUAUUAUUAUAUUGAACACUAUAUUUUAAAUUUUAAAUUUUAUUUUUAAAAAAUAGCCUAGACGGUAUGUAGUUAUAAGAUUUCUUAAUUAAUCAUUUGUAGAACUUUUGUUUUUUGGAUGAAUUUGUUCACAUUCAAUUACUU